rnacentral:rRNA from 1 species
AGAGGUGGCAAGCGUUGUUCGGAAUUACUGGGCGUAAAGGGCGCGUAGGCGGCCCGUCAAGUCCCGUGUGAAAGCCCCCGGCUCAACCGGGGAACUGCACGGGAAACUAGCAGUCUUGAGUUCGGGAGAGGGAAGCGGAAUUUCGGGUGUAGCGGUGAAAUGCGCAGAUAUCCGAAGGAACACCGGUGGCGAAGGCGGCUUCCUGGACCGACACUGACGCUGAGGCGCGAAAGCUAGGGGAGCAAACGGGAUUAGAUACCCCGGUAGUCCUAGCCCUAAACGAUGAGAACUGGGUGUAGGGGGUAUGAACCCCCCCUGUGCCGAAGCUAACGCAUUAAGUUCUCCGCCUGGGGAGUACGGUCGCAAGGCUG